ACUAAGCGUACACGGUGGAUGCCCUGGCAGUCAGAGGCGAUGAAGGACGUGCUAAUCUGCGAUAAGCGUCGGUAAGGUGAUAUGAACCGUUAUAACCGGCGAUUUCCGAAUGGGGAAACCCAGUGUGAUUCGUCACACUAUCAUUAACUGAAUCCAUAGGUUAAUGAGGCGAACCGGGGGAACUGAAACAUCUAAGUACCCCGAGGAAAAGAAAUCAACCGAGAUUCCCCCAGUAGCGGCGAGCGAACGGGGAGGAGCCCAGAGCCUGAAUCAGUGUGUGUGUUAGUGGAAGCGUCUGGAAAGGCGCGCGAUACAGGGUGACAGCCCCGUACACAAAAAUGCACAUACUGUGAGCUCGAUGAGUAGGGCGGGACACGUGGUAUCCUGUCUGAAUAUGGGGGGACCAUCCUCCAAGGCUAAAUACUCCUGACUGACCGAUAGUGAACCAGUACCGUGAGGGAAAGGCGAAAAGAACCCCGGCGAGGGGAGUGAAAAAGAACCUGAAACCGUGUACGUACAAGCAGUGGGAGCCUCUUUAUGGGGUGACUGCGUACCUUUUGUAUAAUGGGUCAGCGACUUAUAUUCUGUAGCAAGGUUAACCGAAUAGGGGAGCCGAAGGGAAACCGAGUCUUAACUGGGCGUUAAGUUGCAGGGUAUAGACCCGAAACCCGGUGAUCUAGCCAUGGGCAGGUUGAAGGUUGGGUAACACUAACUGGAGGACCGAACCGACUAAUGUUGAAAAAUUAGCGGAUGACUUGUGGCUGGGGGUGAAAGGCCAAUCAAACCGGGAGAUAGCUGGUUCUCCCCGAAAGCUAUUUAGGUAGCGCCUCGUGAAUUCAUCUCCGGGGGUAGAGCACUGUUUCGGCAAGGGGGUCAUCCCGACUUACCAACCCGAUGCAAACUGCGAAUACCGGAGAAUGUUAUCACGGGAGACACACGGCGGGUGCUAACGUCCGUCGUGAAGAGGGAAACAACCCAGACCGCCAGCUAAGGUCCCAAAGUCAUGGUUAAGUGGGAAACGAUGUGGGAAGGCCCAGACAGCCAGGAUGUUGGCUUAGAAGCAGCCAUCAUUUAAAGAAAGCGUAAUAGCUCACUGGUCGAGUCGGCCUGCGCGGAAGAUGUAACGGGGCUAAACCAUGCACCGAAGCUGCGGCAGCGACGCUUAUGCGUUGUUGGGUAGGGGAGCGUUCUGUAAGCCUGCGAAGGUGUGCUGUGAGGCAUGCUGGAGGUAUCAGAAGUGCGAAUGCUGACAUAAGUAACGAUAAAGCGGGUGAAAAGCCCGCUCGCCGGAAGACCAAGGGUUCCUGUCCAACGUUAAUCGGGGCAGGGUGAGUCGACCCCUAAGGCGAGGCCGAAAGGCGUAGUCGAUGGGAAACAGGUUAAUAUUCCUGUACUUGGUGUUACUGCGAAGGGGGGACGGAGAAGGCUAUGUUGGCCGGGCGACGGUUGUCCCGGUUUAAGCGUGUAGGCUGGUUUUCCAGGCAAAUCCGGAAAAUCAAGGCUGAGGCGUGAUGACGAGGCACUACGGUGCUGAAGCAACAAAUGCCCUGCUUCCAGGAAAAGCCUCUAAGCAUCAGGUAACAUCAAAUCGUACCCCAAACCGACACAGGUGGUCAGGUAGAGAAUACCAAGGCGCUUGAGAGAACUCGGGUGAAGGAACUAGGCAAAAUGGUGCCGUAACUUCGGGAGAAGGCACGCUGAUAUGUAGGUGAAGCGACUUGCUCGUGGAGCUGAAAUCAGUCGAAGAUACCAGCUGGCUGCAACUGUUUAUUAAAAACACAGCACUGUGCAAACACGAAAGUGGACGUAUACGGUGUGACGCCUGCCCGGUGCCGGAAGGUUAAUUGAUGGGGUUAGCGGUAACGCGAAGCUCUUGAUCGAAGCCCCGGUAAACGGCGGCCGUAACUAUAACGGUCCUAAGGUAGCGAAAUUCCUUGUCGGGUAAGUUCCGACCUGCACGAAUGGCGUAAUGAUGGCCAGGCUGUCUCCACCCGAGACUCAGUGAAAUUGAACUCGCUGUGAAGAUGCAGUGUACCCGCGGCAAGACGGAAAGACCCCGUGAACCUUUACUAUAGCUUGACACUGAACAUUGAGCCUUGAUGUGUAGGAUAGGUGGGAGGCUUUGAAGUGUGGACGCCAGUCUGCAUGGAGCCGGCCUUGAAAUACCACCCUUUAAUGUUUGAUGUUCUAACGUUGGCCCCUGAUCGGGGUUGCGGACAGUGUCUGGUGGGUAGUUUGACUGGGGCGGUCUCCUCCUAAAGAGUAACGGAGGAGCACGAAGGUUGGCUAAUCCUGGUCGGACAUCAGGAGGUUAGUGCAAUGGCAUAAGCCAGCUUGACUGCGAGCGUGACGGCGCGAGCAGGUGCGAAAGCAGGUCAUAGUGAUCCGGUGGUUCUGAAUGGAAGGGCCAUCGCUCAACGGAUAAAAGGUACUCCGGGGAUAACAGGCUGAUACCGCCCAAGAGUUCAUAUCGACGGCGGUGUUUGGCACCUCGAUGUCGGCUCAUCACAUCCUGGGGCUGAAGUAGGUCCCAAGGGUAUGGCUGUUCGCCAUUUAAAGUGGUACGCGAGCUGGGUUUAGAACGUCGUGAGACAGUUCGGUCCCUAUCUGCCGUGGGCGCUGGAGAACUGAGGGGGGCUGCUCCUAGUACGAGAGGACCGGAGUGGACGCAUCACUGGUGUUCGGGUUGUCAUGCCAAUGGCACUGCCCGGUAGCUAAAUGCGGAAGAGAUAAGUGCUGAAAGCAUCUAAGCACGAAACUUGCCCCGAGAUGAGUUCUCCCUGAGACUUUAAGUCUCCUGAAGGAACGUUGAAGACGACGACGUUGAUAGGCCGGGUGUGUAAGCGCAGCGAUGCGUUGAGCUAACCGGUACUAAUGAACCGUGAGGCUUAACC
rnacentral:rRNA from 1 species